rnacentral:rRNA from 1 species
GGCGACGAUGCGUAGGGGUUCUGAGAGGAAGGUCCCCCACACUGGUACUGAGACACGGACCAGACCCCUACGGGAGGCAGCAGUGAGGAAUAUUGGUCAAUGGCCGGGAGGCUGAACCAGCCAAGUCGCGUGAGGGAAGACGGCCCUACGGGUUGUAAACCUCUUUUGUCAGGGAGCAAGGUGCAGGUCGGGACCUGCUGUGAGAGUACCUGAAGAAAAAGCAUCGGCUAACUCCGUGCCAGCAGCCGCGGUAAUACGGAGGAUGCGAGCGUUAUCCGGAUUUAUUGGGUUUAAAGGGUGCGCAGGCGGAGGCACAAGUCAGCGGUAAAAUCGCGGGGCUCAACCCCGCUCCGCCGUUGAAACUGUGUCCCUUGAGUGCGCGAAGGGUAGGCGGAAUGCGUGGUGUAGCGGUGAAAUGCAUAGAUAUCACGCAGAACUCCGAUCGCGAAGGCAGCCUACCGGCGCGCGACUGACGCUCAUGCACGAAAGCGUGGGUAUCGAACAGGAUUAGAUACCCUGGUAGUCCACGCAGUAAACGAUGAAUGCUAUCUGUCCGGCCGGAAUGACGGCUGG